rnacentral:rRNA from 1 species
AUGAGAAUGACAUGCUCCAUUUCAAGCCUUCGGCUAUCACCAACACAUUUGUCAAUUACUUUCGUUAUAUUUUCUCUUCUCCUAAUCAUACUGCAGAUAGACCUUAUAUGUCCGCUCAAUGGCCGAAUGAUUCUUCAGAUCCAACCUAUUCUCUUCCUGACAAACAUGAGGUUUUGCAGAUUCUCAAGGACAUGA